ensembl:lncRNA
AUGACAGAGGACAGAAUCAUCAAAAGUGUCCAGGAGCAACUGUCUGAUCAUAAUAUCCUGUCCUCUUGCCCACCUGAGCUGACUGUUGGUCUUAUCAAGGUGGUGGUCGAACAGCUUAACUCUGCCCUCUCUGCGACCAUCAGCAGAGCCAUUUCAGGGCGGUCAUCCCCUAUUUCUUCUGGUACCCAGGCCGCUGAACAAAUGGUCAACAUGGUCCAGAAAUGUUUUGAUGAUCACACCACCCCAGAGGACCAGAGCUCUACCUCUGUAUUAGAGUCAUGCAUUCCACCUGCAACAGAAGAAGUGAUGACUGUUAUCGCAGAGAUGGUGGGUGAAUUGGAAAAAGAAGAUCCGGAAUUGGCUAAGGUUUUUCGAGAAGUGGCUGUGAAAGUUAAAAUGUUGGCAUCUGGCAGUGACCUUGUAGAGGAGCACCUGGAUGUUGAAGACUCUCCUGUUCCAGAGGAGCUGAACAUAAUAUGUACAUCUUGCAAAGCAAUGAUGCAAAAUCUUGGCACUCUGUUUAGUGUGAAGUUCAAGACCAAAGCCUCAAAGGCUGUGAGUGAAAUUCUUGUGAGAAGGUUAAUGAGCGAUAUCUCUGGUAUGGUUCAACCUUCUCAUUCGUUUAGUACCACUCCAAGCUUGAUGAAUGCAUCUAGCCCAUCUGACAGGAUCCUUGAUUCUGCGGCCACUGAGCUCAUACAGACCAAAGUAGAAUCUGAGGCAUCACAAAUAAUUGAUAACUUUGUUGAAGAUGUCAAGGACAUUGUGCAGUAUGCUGAAUUAGAUCAGCCAACAAGCACCCAGAGAGAUACCCAAGUGGGACACUGUACGACAAAGCGGAAACCCUUCCAUGCAGCUCGUAGACUCUGCGAGAGACUUCAGGCAAAGCUGGAGACAUUGUUCCUCAGAAUGGGUGGAGCUCCAGUCCAAGGGGAAGAACUUAUGGAAAAAGCUGACUCCAGUGCUGUGCUUCUGGAGCAUACUGACUCCAGUGAUCUGCCUGUUUCAAUCCUGAGCUUGCCUUCCCCAUGUAGGAGUGAAUCCCCUAUAUCAGAACGUAGUUCAUCUUCUUUAUCUGAUGGAUGUGAUUCAACUGACUCUGUAGGAGAGAAAACACCAGAGCAACCUGAAACCAGUAAGAGUGAGGCAAUACUGCAAGUGGUCAACUCAACAGGACUUGGUUCUCUCCGUAAAUGCCAAAGUGAGAACUCUCAACCAUUACUGUCUCUCUGUGAUUCCAACAUGGUGCCCUGCACCAAAGAGGUCUUGUCCCAGAUUGUGACCAUGUAUAGGUCAGAGGUGGCAGAUUUGGAAUGCACAUCAUCUGUUGCAGAGGGUUCCUCUUACAACUCCCUUGAAGUCUGUGGCUUUUUGGACAGUGCCAUGUCUUAUCUAGAAGACAUGCCUGUGUCUGGUUCUUCAUGGUUGGAAGGAUUAAGAGAUACUCCAGCCUCAGUCAUUGAGAAACUCUCCAGUGAGGAGUUCCAGAUGAACGCUACCAACGAAGUGCGAAAAAUACUGAUCAAAUCAGUCAGUAGCUUUCCCAGCAAAGUCAGUUCCAGCCAGACAGAUUCUCAGAUGUUGCCAGCAAAAUCAACAAUUUCCUUAAGGCAUACAGAUAUAACUGCUUUUGAAAUCGUUGGAUCAAUUACAAAUGACAUGAAGAGCCUUUUCCCACCCACAGAGUCUUCUACUCUAUGGCAGGCAGACUCUAUGCUUCAACAGAGUGAUGAGAAAACCUCAGAGUACACUGAGGCCACACCCAAAGGCUCACAGUCUGGUUUGGAAGUAUCUGAGAAGAAGAUCUGGACAACUGCAAAGACUAUUUACCACAAUGUGAAGACAAAGAUGAUGAAUUAUUUUACAUGGCAAAAUCAAGUCAAAGCAACAACGGCUCAAGCCAAAAAGACCCUCAGCCAUAUUCUGGUUUUAAUUCAGAAAGAGCUGUCAAAAUCUGACCAAACGGUGACUGCGCUUUCACAAAUAGAGAAUGUGGUUGGAAUGAUGCUGAAGGAUGUUGAAAGGGUAAGCAGUGAAUGUGGUGAGGAACUGAUCUAUCAAGCGCCACAGCGUUCUUCCUCCUCGUUGUCAUCCUCAUCUGCCAGAUCAAAGAAGUCAGAGUGGGAAUUUUCACUCCCUGGCACUCCCAUCUCUUCUGAUUUACCAGAGAGUAUUACUCAGCCCAUUGUGAGAUGCUCAGUCAUCGACAUGGGCAAAUCUACUAAGCCAAAAACAUUGGUGUGUGAUGCCAGGGAAAGCAUGUCUGCAAUAGUGGAUACCAUCAUAAAGGAGGUACAUCCAGAGGAAGAAGGGGAGGUUGCAUUCCACCCUGAUCUAACAGCUGCAAUAGCAAGACUGGAGGAGCUCAUAUCUCAGGGUAGGAUUGGUGCUCUCUCACGUGAUCUUACUCACCAAGUCAACCGCAUCAUUUCUGAGAGCAACUUGACCCCUCUGGUUCUGACAGUGGCGGCUGGAAAGAGUGCAUCCGAUACAGUCCUUACUGAGCUGAAGAGGAAUGACAAGACGGUGGGGAAGCCCACAGCUUACAAGCUGGUUCAGCUUUUUGCAGAGGAGUCUGUGAAGCGCCUCUUGCUUCCUAGCCUUGUGCCCUCUACAGCUUCAAUGAGUUUGGCUCAGGGAGUUAGUGUGCCGGCUAGCGUAUCUGAAGAUAGGAUUUCAUGUUCUUUUUCUACAUCAGCAUUUAGUGACACAGUCAGCCUGUUUACCAAAGUAAUGGUAAGUCAGGUCAUGGACUCUGUGGUUUCUGAUGCACAAGGCAGAGGGUCAUCUCCAACCGGAACUGUAACUGAUAUAGGCAGUCUACUGAGUGGUAAGUCCUACCCUCUGCCAUCUUUCUCUGCCAUCAGCAUGACAACAAGUGGGACCUCCAAUGCUGCACGAGGCUUUGAGGCCAACAUAGAUGCUGAGGAAAGGGAUACCAUCAGUUGUUUCGGUGUACCUCAGAGCAUUGUUUGUGAUCAGAAUUCAACCAGCCCGGAUGUUGCCUCGCUUUCAACCCCAUCCACUGUUAACUUAGUCGGUGAUGAUGACUUCACCGGCCUCAUCAGCAUGUUAGUGGUGAGACUUCUGUCAAAAAUACAAACCCAAACUGAUCUGUACCCAACUGACGUCACACGCACGUCACAAGACCUGAUUCCAAAAGUUAUAGCUGCCUUCUGUGCAUGGUCAGGCUGCUCUGAGACCCAAGCUUAUCCCAAGAACCUGAAGAGUCACAAAGUAUACAGCACCGUCUACAAACAUCUGUUGAAGGAGUUUGGCUCAGAGAAAAUACUCCAACUGGCCGUGUCGACUCAGGACUCCACUUUCAAUAGGAUUCUUGUGAAGUCAUUGAGCAAGGAGCUUCUCCACAGUUGUAACGAGGCAUCAAGAGCAGCCUCAAGAACAUCUUUCGAAGCCACCAGGCCAGAAGCUCUUCUCAUGGCUGAAGAUGUGAAGGCUACCAGAGGGAAGCUGUCUUUCCUACAAAGGCUUGCCAGACUGAAAUUCAACUUAAAGCCAUUCAUGAUGGGAAACAAGAAGAAUUCCCGCCAUUCUGAAUCCAAAGACCAGACUACUGCUGAAGAGAUCAUGUGUAAGUCCAUACAGCAGGACAUUUACUGUUUGAGAUAUUGGUGUACAAAGCUGCUAUUGCAAAAAUAUUAA